CCCGCGAGAGGGUUUUCGGCUGAGAGUAGCUUUGCUAUUCUUUUGUUUAGUUAAAACUUCAAACUUUCUUCUGGUCGACAGCGCUCUACCAUGGAAGACGACGAUGAAAUUCCACCACUUGCAGUUGAGGUUGAUCGAAUUUCUGAGCCAAACGCAUCAGAAUUCACUGGAAAACCCGAAAAUCGAAGAUCAGCCGAUGAAGAUUCGGUGGGCGUGACCGUUAUCACAGGUUAUCUUGGCGCCGGAAAAUCAACUCUAGUUAAUUUCAUCUUGAAUUCCCAACACGGCAAGAAGAUUGCUGUUAUCUUAAAUGAGUUCGGUGAGGAGAUUGGAGUGGAAAGGGCGAUGAUAAACGAGGGAGACGGUGGCACACUUGUCGAGGAAUGGGUAGAGCUCGCAAAUGGUUGCAUUUGCUGCACUGUCAAGCAUAGUCUGGUGCAAGCAUUGGAGCAGCUCGUUCAGAGAAAGGAGAGACUUGAUCACAUAUUGCUGGAGACCACCGGAUUGGCAAAUCCUGCUCCUCUUGCUUCUGUUCUUUGGUUGGAUGAUCAGCUAGAAGCAUCAGUCAAACUUGAUUGUAUUAUUACAGUUGUGGAUGCAAAAAACCUCCGGCAUCAACUUUAUGAGCAUCACGAUUCUUCUUCAUUUCCCGAAGCAUAUCUUCAAAUAGCAUUUGCGGAUGUGGUAAUUCUUAAUAAGGUUGAUCUGGUCUCUUCUGAGGGCUCAGCACCAACAAAUGCUGAUGUUCUGCAGGAACUGGAAAAGGAGAUUCAUAACAUUAAUUCUCUUGCUACUAUCAUUCACUCUGUCCGUUGCCAAGUUGACUUGUCUAAGAUACUUGACUGCCGAGCCUAUGAUGCCAUGCACACUUCUCACUUGGAAGCUCUUUUGAAAGAAAGUCAAUCUCUAUCUACAAAAGAUAGUCAUGAGAGUAGCGUGCGAACCUUGUGCAUUUAUAAUCAGGAAAAGGUUAACCUCCAGAAGCAAGGAGAACUUCAAAUUCAACUCAAUUCAACUAAGUCUUGUCUGAACUCCCAACUAUAUGGGAUCGGCUAUUUGUUUCUUGAUUGCCUGGCACUCUUCACUAUGCAACAUUGCCAGCCUUAUGACCAUCUUAUCACAUGGGACAAACUCCAAAUUGGGGUACAUUCAUGGCUUGAGGAUAUUCUUUGGGAGAAAAAACAUAGCAUGGAUAUCUAUCGUUGCAAAGGGGUUCUAAGUGUCCAAAAUUCAGAUGAACUUCAUACUAUACAGGCUGUGCGAGAGAUAUAUGAGAUUGUUCCAGCUCGUAGAUGGCAGCAGGAAGAGAACCAAGUGAACAAGAUUGUGUUCAUAGGUCGGAAUCUAGAUGAGGACAUUCUCAGGAAUUCUUUCAGAGCUUGCGUUUAACCACUGAUUACUAGUAUGACUUCAGCCAUCACCAUAUUGGUAGCACAUGGCAUCCCAGCCCAAGUGUUAUCUUGAUGUGCUUUCGUGAUAUUAGUCAUUGCAGGUUGGAAUGAUGCUGCUUGGAGGAAGGUUGAAACUGAUCUUGGAAUGGUUUAUCAGAAUUAUCACAUAACUUUUGUUUAAAAGAAUCCACAAAACAGAAUCAACUUUUUUUUUUGUAGAAUGACUUGUAUAGUUUGUUUUCCUAUGGCUCAUGUUGGGACAAUGAUUUCCA